AAGCAAAUAUACAGUAUAAGAAAUAUAAAUAUUACAUUAAACAUCUAUCGUAAUAUUAUCAUUUGAUUUAAAAACAAGAAAAUUAGAAUAAAUAAAUAUACAAUAUUGAAAAAUUCCCUUGGAUAGCCAUUUUUAAGUUUUUGCUACAAAAUAGCUAUAAAUGAGAAAAAUAAUCAAAAUAAGUCUUAUUAAAGAGUAAAAAUACAUUUAUACCCUAUGGUUAACUAACAUAGACUUAUGGUUUAGAGUUAAGGGGUGGGAUUUUGAGGAUAGGAUUUCAAAUUUUUAAAAAUAAAAAUUAAAAAAUUAAAUUUUUUAAAAUAAAAGAGACUAUUUUGGUCACUUUCUUUAUUGAAUACUAUUUUGUGACAAAAAACUUAAAAGAUCUAUUUGAGAGAAUUGUCUUACAAUAUAAGAAAAAAAAAUAAUAAGUAAAUAUACAAUAUAAGAAAGGAAAAACUAUAUCAAACAUCUAUCUAAAAAAUGUAUAGUUUUCUGAUUUUUUCUAAAGAAAUAUGUAUUCACACAUACAUACAAUUCAGAAUUUGUUGUUGUUCAGAAUACAACGUUCAAAAAAAUAACUAUAUGGUUAACAUUUGAAAAUGAAAAUAGCCCCGCACGUAGCGCGGAUUAACUCCUAGUCUUUAUAUAUAAAAGAUGUUUUGCUCUCUCCUGAGGCUGCCACCUAGGAUUCCACUUAGGAAAGUCGCUUCACGAGGAGUCAACACGUGUCCGCCUGCUCGAAACACAGCGUUUCAUUAAAGGAAUCAGCGAUCCAUAUGGGCUAAGUUUGUGUGUGGGCUUUUUUUAAUUUGGCACAAGAAAAGCAGCCCGAUAGCAGUCAACCCUAAUAGCACAAUGUUCAUCUCCGUUCUUUGUUCUUCGUCAUCUGAUCUUCUUUUUCAUCGACCAAAAACGUUACCAGUUACAGAUUCGUCUCAUUAAACCUCUUCUUAACUCCAUCAACCACGAUCUGGUCUUGAAUGUGAACUUCUCUUCUCCGAGGCGGUGUCACUGCGAAUAUAAAAAGUUAAGCCUUCCUCUUAUCAAAACCAUCUUCUCGAUCUGUUGAACCAACAAAGUAAAGUUAUUUUCACAUAAAUGGCUAACUCGAAAGUUCUUAUUUCUCAUUUGAAAUCUGGUAAAUUUUCUUCUCCGGUUGAGGUUAGGUUGAUGCGUUGACUUCCUCUGCCUAGCAAAGGGAAACAUGAACGGUUAGUGGCUACACUCAGUCAAUUCGUCUGGACUUCUUCUUAAAUCGUUAUGGGCGUCAAUAUGCUUCUCCUUGAAGCCAAGGUUGCUCCGGCGAUUUAGAAAACAAACUCAAGUUUUUUUCUGUAAGAUUUACAAGUAACGUGAUCUUAAUUAAUUUGUGAUCUUAGUCAUACGAUGUUUGCUUCUUCAUUUUGUUAAGCUCCUCGGUCUUUUUAAUCUGACAAUGGCUCGAACAAAUGCAGAUGAUGAUUUAAAGUCAAAGUCUUUACAAGCUGAGUUUGGCGAAAAGAGGAGCUUUGGUCGCGGUUUCUGUAUUACAGUCAAGAGAUUGCAACAUAUAAAAAAAUUACUAAUGCUCUGCUUCAUAGAAGGUAUGAAGCUACAUAUGGAGAAAUUCAAUGAUGGUAUUGUACUAAGAUAAAGGCUCCUUAGUAUAUUGAAACGAGAGUCUAUAGUGGGGACAUGUAAAGUUCCUAUGUUAUAAAUACCAUUUGAGUCAAAUAUCAUAUGUAAAUUUUUUCCUUGAGUCGAUUUUAGUUUUCAACAAUGUUUUUGUUUUAAAAAAUAGAUUAUUGUAUGAUAGUUUUAAGCAAUCUGCAGGAUAUUACUGAAGAAAACAAAUCUCAUCCAUGCCCAACAGAGUGGUUAUUCCGUGUUGAUAUUGUUAAUAAAUGGAAAGAGUCUAACGGUUUCAGUGCUGCCCAAAUGUUUAGAGAAUAUCAAGAUGUCUGAUACGGCCUUACUGGUGAGAAGAGCAUUGUCUUUAAGCCAAUAUACUUUGUUUAUGGAUCUUCAAUAGAUUCUUUUGUGAAAAGGGGGAUUAGAAGUCUUUUGGUUCAAUGGAAAAUUAGCUCAGCAGUCCAGUGAGAAAGUGUUGAAGGAUGCAAUGAAACCAUCACAAAACAGUAAGUAAAUUGAUAAGUUUCUGACAAAAAACUGUGAAUCAAGAAUAAAAUUAAAUAACUGUAUGAUAAUAUGACGUAUCAGGUUCUGCUUAUGUCUAUGAAAGCUGGCGUCGAACUGAAUCUAACCGCUUCUUCACACGUCUUCUUAACGGUACAGUUUAUCUUUACGAUUACGUUUAAGUUCUUCUUGAUCAUGAAGAGUUGAUGACAUAAUAUGAAAAUUAAUAGCGUAGGGCAGAAAAGAAUGGCAUGUGAAAGAAGCUUCAUUGUUAAAACCAGGUCACCUUCUACACUCCUGGGCGUGACAAGUCAGAUAAUAGGAAAACAAAAGCUUGCUACAUGUCUCUCUAAGGUAGUUUUGUUUCUUCCUGAAUUGGUCUAAACAAGCAGAAGAAGGCUAAGGGAAACCGGAACAUUAUCUUCUGGUUGGACACAGAAGCGCUUGGAAUGCAUUGGAUCGUUUGGUGCAAGAAAAGUUUAUGUAUAAGAAACCAGAGGAGAAGAAGGUGGUCAAGUAAAGUGAUGGAAGAUCUAACUCCAUUAAUGGAGCUAUAAUAGGAGGAAGCUUUAUGCUUGGAUCAACAAGUCUCCACCCAUAAAUGUAGACAAGACAAUCAGUUUUUUUUUUUUUGCAAUUAUUAUUUGUUCCCAAUAGUCCAAAAACUACCGUUGACGAAGUCUUUUUCUUUUGUAUUUCUCAUUCACUAUAAAUAAAAAUUUCAA